UACGUAGGGUGCGAGCGUUAAUCGGAAUUACUGGGCGUAAAGCGUGCGCAGGCGGUUCGUCGUGUCCGAUGUGAAAGCCCCGGGCUUAACCUGGGAAUGGCAUUUGGGACUGCAAGGCUUGAGUUUGGCAGAGGAGACUGGAAUUCCUGGUGUAGCAGUGAAAUGCGUAGAUAUCGGGAGGAACACCUGUGGCGAAGGCGGCCCCCUGGUUGGAUACUGACGCUGAUACGCGAAAGCGUGGGGAGCAAACAGG
rnacentral:rRNA from 1 species